CACAAUCCAAACAAAUACUCUCCCCGUUUUAAUUUGUUUGUUUGAUUUUGAUUUGACACGAACAAAUUAAGAGCAAUAUGCUAGCUAUAAGGGUUAAUUAUAUUUGGCUUCAAUCGGUAAGUAAACAUUCCAAUUUCUAAAGUGCACACUGGUUGUUUCGACUGAUAACUGAAUAUUUCUCAUUGUGUCUUGUGGAUAUUCAAUGUUGAAGUGAUACAGAAAUUUUGGAAGUGUCUGAAUAUGACUAUUUUGUAAAUUAAGAGUCUUUAGCUGAUACGAGUUGAGAUGUUUAGAUAUGUUUAGAUGUGCAUAUAAUGUAAAGUGCACACUGGUUUCGACUGAUAACUGAAUAUUUCUCAUUGUGUCUUGUGGGCAUUCAAUAUUGAAGUGACACAGAGAUUUUAGAGGUGUCUGAAUAUGAUUAUUUUGUAAAUUAGAGUCUUUAGCUGAUACAGUAUAGACGAGUUGAGAUGUUUAGAUGUGCCUAUAGACUAGACGAGUUGAGAUGUUCAUAUGCGCCUAGCUGAUACAG